CAUAUACUAAAUGGAUUUUAUUAAAAUUUUUUGGAUUAUCACAAUCUGGCAUAUGUUAAUGUUUAGCAACAACAUUGAUUUUGAUGCAUUAUUAUUUUUUUGUGCAUUGUCAGAUAAAAAAACAACACCACAGGGCCUUUAGAUUCAUAUUAUUGUCCACUUUCACUGACUUAAAAAAAAAAAAGAAUUUUCAGGAUUUUAACACUUUAAAUGCCAGUGUGUUUACAUAAUGGCACUGUUGUUGUUUUUUACACACACACAAUUUUUUCAAUUUAUUCAUUUGGACAAAAAAUAGGAGAAAAGCAUGUAUUUGCGCCAUAGGCUAAACAUGAGAAAAAUGGUGCCAUCUGGUGGAAAAUGUUAAAUAAAAAUGUGAAGCUCCAGAAUGAAAGCAUAAUAUAUAAUUCACUUUAAAACACAAAAAGUUAUUUGUUGAAUUUGAAAGUUUCUCCUAUUGCAUCAGACUACAACAUUUUUUGGUUCAAACUAGAACAUUUAUUUAACUUUAAAGGAUACAUACUUGUGUACAAGAUUGGAGCCAUCUCUGAGUUUGUAGGGUUUACAUACCUAACAAUCACCAAUCUAGUUUCCACUAGUGAUCGACCGAUAUGGGUGUUUUAAUGGUCGAUACAGAUGCUGAUAUUCCUGAGAGCAGGGUGGCCGAUAGGUGGAGAUAAUGCAGAUAUAUCACACAAUUUAAUAUUUUAAAUAACAUGCAUAAAAGUGUUUAAAAAAAAUUAUAAACUCUUAUUUAGCACUUUGUUUACUAAAAAUGUCAUGCGAAACUUUGUUUUUUAAAUAUUGUUUAAAAAAGAUAAGAUAGCAAUUUCUUUGUUAUUUGCACAAGACAUUGUUAAUAUAUAAGGAAGAAGGAUAUAACAGUGCACACAAUAGUCAGGCAACCCCGGAUGGCAUGUGUGCAUUAAAGGUAACUUUUUGAUUGUCAUCUUGGACUUACAGUGACACCUAGUGGUGUGGAUGCAGCAUCUUUCAAAAUCAAUAGGUUGACGGCUUUAAUAAAAGCACUUGACAGAAAAAAACACUGUGUUUUCAUGAGGUUGUGAAUUACAUCCGUUUAAACGAGAUAUCCGCAUAUUUGUAGAAGAUAUAGUAUAAUAGUUUUAUUGAUAUUUGCCUUUUUAUUAUUGGACAAGACUGUUAAAAGUUAAAGGGAACUGUGAGCUCUUUAACAUUAUGAGCUCCAACGCAUCUGUCGCGGCUCUUAUAUGUGGACCUCUAAAUGAGACUGUUGUACACUGGUCAAUUAUCGUAGUAACUCGACGGCAUGUAACAACAAAACGACUGUGAUUGGUUGUUUACAUGUCACAGACGGCUCCUUCACGUGCAAGCAGGCGAUUUUCAGUGGUCUUAAGAAACAAAUGGUCCAAACGGGACUUUUUAAAUGUGGAACCUAGUGGUGGACGAUAUUCAGAAUUUUUUAAUUAUCGGCAUCAACCGAUUUAUCGGCCUUGGCGAAAUAUCGUCGACCACUAGUUUCCACUUUUAAACCACAAAUUAAAUACAGCUGAGAACCUAAGUGGUUGUUUUAUUGUUAGCUGUAGUUUAAGUGUGCAACUGUCUUGUCAGUGUGUAGUUGUGUAUGUAAUCUCUGGGUUUUUGCCCAAGGAGACGUAACUCUGGCCAUGAUGCCAUUGUUGUGCCAAAAGUGGGCAUAAAGAAACUGGCUUGUGAUCGACCCUACUGUCCUGUAUGGUGGACCAGGGGCUUGGAACGGGGCCAGAUAACCCACCCCUACCAAUACAGACUCAAGCAGUUGAAGAACAUGGACAGCUGAACGACUCUGCAGUCAGCUUAACUAAGACGUGGAAAAAAGCUACAAACCUUGCUGAACGAAAUAUCUACAUCAACACCUGAUCAGCAUCAUCAACAUCAACACUGACUUCUUUGUAAAGAAUGAUAUAAUUCAGUGACUACUUCUGAAAUGAACCUCUUUUUUUAUUAUUAAUACAAUAAUAAAGUACAUUUAAAUAAAAUAAAUCACAGCUUGUGCAAGUUUUAUUUCCAGUCUAUAUCUGUAAGUGUACAGGUUUUGGUCCUGUUAGUAAAACCUUGAGGUGGAUUUGUGACGCUUCCUUGCACUAAUAUAUGCAGAUUCCUUGUUUCUUUUAAAAGGUUUGUAAAAGGAUACGUGCAGAUCUCCAUCCAUCCAUCUUCAACCGCUUAUCCGAAGUCGGGUCGCGGGGGCAGCUGCUCCAGCAGGGGGCCCCAAACUUCCCUAUCCCGAGCCACAUUAACCAACUCUGACUGGGGGACCCCGAGGCGUUCCCAGGCCAGUGUGGAGAUGUAAUCUCUCCACCUAAUCCUGGGUCUUCCCCAAGGCCUCCUCCCAGCUGGACGUUCCUGAAACACCUCCGUAGGGAGGCGGCCAUGGGGCAUCCUUCCCAGAUGCCCAAACCACCUCAACU